GACGAACGCUGGCGGCGUGCUUAACACAUGCAAGUCGAACGGUAAGGCCCUUUCGGGGGUACACGAGUGGCGAACGGGUGAGUAACACGUGGGUAAUCUGCCCUGCACCUCGGGAUAAGCCUGGGAAACUGGGUCUAAUACCGGAUAUGAGUCCCGGCCGCAUGGUCUGGGGUUGGAAAGUUUUUCGGUGCAGGAUGAGCCCGCGGCCUAUCAGCUUGUUGGUGGGGUAAUGGCCUACCAAGGCGACGACGGGUAGCCGGCCUGAGAGGGUGAUCGGCCACACUGGGACUGAGACACGGCCCAGACUCCUACGGGAGGCAGCAGUGGGGAAUAUUGCACAAUGGGCGGAAGCCUGAUGCAGCGACGCCGCGUGGGGGAUGACGGUCUUCGGAUUGUAAACCCCUUUCAGUAGGGACGAAGCGCAAGUGACGGUACCUGCAGAAGAAGCACCGGCCAACUACGUGCCAGCAGCCGCCGUAA
rnacentral:rRNA from 1 species